rnacentral:rRNA from 1 species
CUCAGGAUGAACGCUAGCGGCAGGCUUAACACAUGCAAGUCGAGGGGCAUCGGGAGGGAAGCUUGCUUUCCUUGCCGGCGACCGGCGCACGGGUGAGUAACACGUAUGCAACCUGCCCUCUUCAGGGGGACAACCUUCCGAAAGGGAGGCUAAUCCCGCGUAUAUCGGUUUCGGGCAUCCGUUAUCGAGGAAAGAUUCAUCGGAAGAGGAUGGGCAUGCGGCGCAUUAGCUAGACGGCGGGGUAACGGCCCACCGUGGCGACGAUGCGUAGGGGUUCUGAGAGGAAGGUCCCCCACACUGGUACUGAGACACGGACCAGACUCCUACGGGAGGCAGCAGUGAGGAAUAUUGGUCAAUGGGAGAGAUCCUGAACCAGCCAAGCCGCGUGAGGGAAGACGGCCCUAUGGGUUGUAAACCUCUUUUGUCGGAGAACAAAACCCGGGACGAGUCCCGGACUGCGUGUAUCCGAAGAAAAAGCAUCGGCUAACUCCGUGCCAGCAGCCGCGGUAAUACGGAGGAUGCGAGCGUUAUCCGGAUUUAUUGGGUUUAAAGGGUGCGUAGGCGGUCUGUUAAGUCAGCGGUAAAAUUGCGGGGCUCAACCCCGUCGAGCCGUUGAAACUGGCAGACUUGAGUUGGCGAGAAGUACGCGGAAUGCGCGGUGUAGCGGUGAAAUGCAUAGAUAUCGCGCAGAACUCCGAUUGCGAAGGCAGCGUACCGGCGCCAGACUGACGCUGAGGCACGAAAGCGUGGGGAUCGAACAGGAUUAGAUACCCUGGUAGUCCACGCAGUAAACGAUGAAUGCUGGUUGUCCGGGUCGAAUGAGACCUGGGCGGCGAAGCGAAAGCGAUAAGCAUUCCACCUGGGGAGUACGCCGGCAACGGUGAAACUCAAAGGAAUUGACGGGGGCCCGCACAAGCGGAGGAACAUGUGGUUUAAUUCGAUGAUACGCGAGGAACCUUACCCGGGCUCAAACGGGAGUGGAAUGGACCAGAGACGGUUCAGCCUACGGGCCGCUUCCGAGGUGCUGCAUGGUUGUCGUCAGCUCGUGCCGUGAGGUGUCGGCUUAAGUGCCAUAACGAGCGCAACCCCCGCCAGCAGUUGCUAACGGGCAAUGCCGAGGACUCUGCCGGGACUGCCGCCGCAAGGCGUGAGGAAGGCGGGGAUGACGUCAAAUCAGCACGGCCCUUACGUCCGGGGCGACACACGUGUUACAAUGGCAGGUACAGCGGGAAGCCACUUGGCGACAAGGCGCGGAACCCGAAAACCUGUCUCAGUUCGGAUUGGAGUCUGCAACCCGACUCCAUGAAGCUGGAUUCGCUAGUAAUCGCGCAUCAGCCACGGCGCGGUGAAUACGUU